UAGAAGGAUAUAAGUUUUAUUUACAACUGAUUCGGCUAUAAUUAUAAUUAUUUACUAUCACAUGAUCGCUUCCAAAAUACACAUCCAAACAUCCCCUAGUUAACAGUUACUAGCAGAUAAACAUCAAAACAAAUGUGACUGACAACAUCUACAGAUCUAUAUAUCUCAAAAACAAUUCCAGAUCUGCACUGGGUGGUGGCUGCGACGAGGAGAAGAAUGGCGGUGGUGAUCGGGGAGAGAGUGGCGGUGUUGGUCUGAUGGAGAACACAUCCUUUAAUCUAGUACAAUUUCCAAUCUGAUUCCGACAUGAAAUUAGAUAAGGUAUUUAGAUAAUUCAUCAAGUUUAGAAAAAGUAUUGAAUGGAGGAGGUGGUGGUUGUAUUUGAUUUGUUUAAGAAAUCAGGUAAUAAGCUCCGGUCGAAAAAAAAGGCAAUAAGAAAUGUUUCGAUAUAUUUGAUUUUCA